GACGAACGCUGGCGGCGUGCUUAACACAUGCAAGUCGAACGAUGAAGCCGGAGCUUGCUCUGGUGAAUUAGUGGCGAACGGGUGAGUAACACGUGAGUAACCUGUCCUUGACUCUGGAUAACUGCGGGAAACUGUAGCUAAUACCGGAUACGACCCUCGGCGGCAUCGCCAGGGGGUGGAAAGAAUUUCGGUCAAGGAUGGACUCGCGGCCUAUCAGCUAGUUGGUGAGGUAACGGCUCACCAAGGCGACGACGGGUAGCCGGCCUGAGAGGGUGACCGGCCACACUGGGACUGAGACACGGCCCAGACUCCUACGGGAGGCAGCAGUGGGGAAUAUUGCACAAUGGGCGCAAGCCUGAUGCAGCAACGCCGCGUGAGGGAUGACGGCCUUCGGGUUGUAAACCUCUUUUAGUAGGGAAGAAGCGAAAGUGACGGUACCUGCAGAAAAAGCACCGGCUAACUACGUGCCAGCAGCCGCGGUAA
rnacentral:rRNA from 1 species